GACGUAGGGCGCGAGCGUUGUCCGGAUUUAUUGGGCGUAAAGAGCUCGUAGGCGGCUUGUCGCGUCGUCCGUGAAAACUUGGGGCUCAACCCCAAGCUUGCGGUCGAUACGGGCAGACUGGAGUACUGCAGGGGAGACUGGAAUUCCUGGUGUAGCGGUGGAAUGCGCAGAUAUCAGGAGGAACACCGGUGGCGAAGGCGGGUCUCUGGGCAGUAACUGACGCUGAGGAGCGAAAGCGUGGGGAGCGAACAGG
rnacentral:rRNA from 1 species